rnacentral:snRNA from 1 species
UUCAAAUGAGAACUUUGA